UAUUUUAUUAAAAGAAAGAGAGACGGAAGAAGAAAGCUGAAGCGGCGGUGGGAGGCGAAGGCGUGGCUGCGUUACCGGACGCGGCGCGGCGACCGCCGGAAAGAAAGGAGAGAGCCGGCGUUGACAUCCGUAGAUCUGAAUUGAAAGGAACAUUCGCAAUUAAAAGAGAUAUACAAAGUUGUAACCUUGAAGAUGAAAAACAAGAAAGAUUAGAACUUACAGCUUCGGGAGCAAUAUAGAACCUACAACUAUCAGAAUUGAUGCAACUGGAAAAACUCCUUGGCAUACACUGCUCUGGCUGACAGUUUUGAGGAGCCUCUCAAGGUCGGCAUAUGAUGCAUUCGUGGGGCGAACCUAUCAUCCUAGAAGGCCUCACUGAGCAGCUAAGUAAUUUAUAGUCUCUUUAAUUUGAAGUUUAUUUUCUUUCUUGUUAUUAAGUUGUUUUAAAAUGCCUUAAGUUUAGUGAAGGAUACGUUAAGUUAACUUUAAGCCUUUGAAAAUUUUUUGGUUAGGAAGAUCUAGGAAUAGAUCAUCACCUUUUUGUACUUAAGAUUGUCUAAUGACAUUUGGGAGAGGAAGAACGCCAAAACUCUUCAACCCAGCUCUCUAUUUCCUUGUUUUCUUUUAUGCAUUCGCAACCAUAGGAAGAGCAAGACCACCUUUACCUCCGGCUCGUCCCUCAAGCCCGGUAUGUCGCCCAGUGACAUCCUUUCACUCAGCCUUGCAAACUUUACCGCCGCGAUCCCACGCGCCUCUUGUCCUACGACCCAAGGAUGUCUAAGCUUGAAGUAGUCAAUAUUGCCCUUUAGGACUGCGAUGUGUUUCUCGCCUUAGUUCUAGACCACCUUAAAAUUGCUCAGGUGCGUAUGGCAAAGUUUUACAACCGCUCUCACCGCGAUGUUGAAUAUGAGGUUGGCCAAUGGGUUUGGCUUCGAUUACAACCCUACCGCCAGCUCUCGGUCAAUCGACAAGUGUUCCACAAGCUCUCACCGAAGUUUUUUGGCCCUUUCCACAUCAUUAAACGUGUCGGGGAUGUCGCUUACCAGCUCGCCCUCCCCUCGUCCAAUAAGAUCCACGACGUGUUCCAUGUGUCCUUGUUGAAACCCUUUCAAGGAGAUCCUCCUUGCAGUUGCUCCCGAGCUCCCUCCGCUGCGUGAUGGUCGGGUUUUGCUACAGCCUCACCUAGUGUCCAAAUCUCGCCUGAAUCGAGGUGUUAAAGAAAUUCAGGGACAUUGAUGUGGCACAACUCUUAAAGAUGCUUCUUGGGAGCCUUUGGACUGUUUUCAGCCUCUGUUUCUAGACUUCCUGCUUGAGGACAAGAUAGUUAACUUGGAGAGGUGCGAUGAUGCAUUCAUGGGGCGAACCUAUCACCGUAGAAGGCUGUUUUGUUAUUAAGUUGUUUUAAAAAGUCCUAAUUUUCAGGGAAGUAAGUUAAGUUAACGUUGAGCCCUGAGUAUUUAUUGUUUAGGAAGAUCCGGGAAUAGAUCAUCACCUUUUUUGUACUUAAGAUGGUCUAAUGAUAUUUGGGAGAGAAAGAACUCCAAAACUCUUCAACCCAAUUCUCUAUUUCCUUGUUUUCUUUUUUGCAUUCGCAACCAUAGGGAGAGCAAGACCAUCGGUACCUCCGGUUCGUCCCUCAAGGCGGUACAUGCAUUCAUAGGUGCCCAGGUCCUCAACAACAUAUUAUAAGUCUAACUUGGCACAUCAAAUUUUUGUAAAUUUACGAACAACUUGGUGCUUUGUAUAUAUUUGUUUGUCCUUUUUGGCACAAUAUAGGAUUAGCUUUGGGCAAUAGGCUACGCCGGUUCAAUUUGAUUAUUGGGCUGGUAUUGGUAGUCAUGGGUUGCUAUGUGCACGCACUUUCAGCGCCUAGUUGUCCAUGGAGUCAUGUAUAUCAUAUGAGUGGACUAGGUAUUAAAUUAUUAGGGAGGUAAAACUAUUUUAAUUUUCAAUGUAAUACUUGUAUUUUGGUAAAUUUUUUUGUAUAUAUAAUAAUUUGCACAUAACAUGGGGAUGUUAUUCCAAUAUUAUAGCAAAUAGUUCCCAAGGGCGAGAGAUAGGUUAGACCUAAUGUUUAAUCUUUCUAGUUUAUUUGGGGAGUUUUAAGUAAUUUGAUAAAUUUUAUUGUUUUUGAAUACUUUUUCAAAUUUUGGUGGGUAGGGUUUUAUGGGAUAGUUUGUUUUGCAUUUUUAUUUUUGUUGGCAUCAAUAAGGAUGCGGAUUUGGGAAAAUGAAUCACGUAUAUCAUUACAACACUAAAGAAGUGUAGUAGCUAUUAAACUGGAUAUGACUGUACUCCCUGAAUUUAUGGUUUUAGAGCAACUAGUUUUUUUUGCACCAUCAUUUUUAGAGUGUUUUGGGUAGAGGAAAGAUAAUACAUUUAUCAUAGUUUUAAUAAGGAAUAUAGUUAUCUUUUUAGUUAAUUGUAUUGCUGCCCCAAUUUUAAUUUUACGUUUCGGGGGAGUAAGUGCUAUCUUUUCUCAUGCGCAGUCAUGUUUUUGUCUCAGGUAUUUAAUUAGUUUAGUUUAAGUAUUAUUUUUAUUAUUAUUUAUUAGAUUAAUUUCACUUUCUACAUUGUUAAUUUGUUAUAUCUAUUUAUCCUUACAUUAUAGUGUGUCGUGAUAUUUGUUUUCCAUGUUGCAAUGACAACUCAAAAAUCACUUUCAAUCUCCAUUCAAUAUCAUUGCUGUCAUAGAUUUUUUAGUUAUUUAUGCCAUGCUGGUAUAGUGAGUGAUCCUCAUGUAUGGACCCCUUUGCAUAUCUUAGAGAGAUGAAAGAGCAGACAUGCAUGGGAACGGGUGUUGUGUCUUUAUAUCCAACUUCCCUUACUUAGAAGUAAGAGAGACUUGAUAUAAAGCUUCAACACCGGUUCCCGUGCACGCCAUGCUCUUUCCAUCUCUCUAGGAUAUGCAAGAGAGGUCCAUCCAUGAGGACCACUCACUAUACCAUGCAUGACAUAAAUAACUAAAAAGCUUAUGUUAGCAAUGAUAGUGAAUGGAGAUUGAAAGUGAUUUUGAGUAGUCAUUGCAACACGGGAAACAAAUAUCAUGACACACUAUAAUGCAAGAAAGAAAUAGAUAUAACAAAUUAAUAAUGUGGAUAAUGAAAUUAAUCUAAUAAAUAAUAAAAAUAAUACUUAAGCUAAACUAAUUAAAUACCUGAAACAAAAACGUGAUUGCACAUGAAAAAGAUAGCACUCAUGUCCCCCAAAACGAGGAAUUAAAAUUGGGAUAGCAAUACAAUUAACUAAAAAGACAACUAUACUCCCUAUUAAAACUAUGAUAAAGGUAUUAUCUUUACCUACCCAAAAAACUCUGAAACUGAAGAUGCAAAAAAAACUAGUUGCUCUAAAAUCAUAAACUCAGGGAGUACAAUCAUAUCCAGUUUAAUAGUUACUACACAUCUUUGGUGUUAUAAUGAUAUACGUGAUUCAUUUCCCCAAAUCCCCAUCCUUAUUGAUGCCAACAAAAAUAAAAAUGCAAAACAAACUAACCCAUAAAAUCCUACCCACCAAAAUUUGGGAAAGUAUUUAAAAACAAUAAAAUUUAUCAAAUUAUUUAAAACUUCCUUAAAUAAACUAGAAAGGUCAAAUACUAGGUCUAACUUAUAUCUCUUGCCCUUCGCAGCUAUUUGCAAUAAUAGUAUUAGAAUAACCUGCACAUUUGUUUGCAAAUUAGUGUAUAUACAAAAAAAAUUACCAAAAUACAAGUAUUAAUUUGAUAAUUAAAACAGUUUUACCUUCCGAAUAAUUUAACACCUUGUCCAGUCAUGAAAUACAUGACUCCAUGGACAACUAGGCGUGAAAAGUGCGCGAAUACGGCUGCACCCGUGACUACCAAUACGAGUCCAGUAAUCAAAUUGAGCUCGUGUAGCCUCUUGUCCAAAGCUAAUCCCACCAUUGUCCCAAAAGGGACAAACAACUAUAUCCAAAGCCGUUGUUCGUAAAUUUACAGAAGUUUGAUGUUGGUGCCAAGUUAGAUUUAUAAUAUUGAGUGUUUAUUACCCUAUUAUGGCCAUGUGAAAAAAAAAAUGAUUUUGCAUGGAGGAGCAAGGAUGAACAACUGAGGCACACUUGAAUUGGUAAAAUGAAAAUAUAGGUGUGUUUUAUUAGGAUAAAAAAGCUCAGAGGAUCCAGAUGAAACAUUAUUUCAAUUGCAUUAGAGUUGAUUGUUUGACUAAAGUUCUCAAGUUAGGGGUCUUCAUUUCUAUGUAUUUAUUGAAAAGCUAUUUCUAUGGCAAACCACUAGUGAAAUUAAAAAAUGACUUGAAAGAUUUAAAACAUUGCUGUAUUAGCCACAAUAAAAAUUUUGACUAUGAUCACAGUAUUUAUACAAGAAAUCGAAAUCAUAAAGUGUGCUUCAUCAAGAUUGCCUCAAAGUAGUCAGAUGAAUGAUGGAGGUGCUCAUAGCCUUCUAAAAAAGGUUCUUGUCAAUCAUGGCAACAACAAUUUGAAGAACAGUGAAACUAACCGUUCUUAUAGUUUACAGACCAAAAAAAUAUCAAUUUAUUUCAGUCUGCUUUUUUCUCCUCUCUGGUGUUCUAUUAAUUUAUUUGUCAAAAGUAGCAAUCCAAAUCUGAAAUGCAUUCUGAUGAUUGAGAUGCAUAUUUGUAAUGUAAAAAUUACUUGUGAUACCCAAAAAAUGGAAUUUAUGUUCUUUAAAUUUGGCCUAACAUUUAGUUUUUGGCAUUGUUAUUUUUGUGUUUUGAGUCUGUAGGUCACUUUCUUACAUGAAUGGAUAAUGUCAUAUUGUCAUUUGAUAAUAUAUCUUUUGCAGCAACCGAGAGCUAUCUAUGAUUCUUGGUGCACUCUUGAAGACAAAAUGAAGGAUUGUUUUGGUUGAUAUUAUCAAUAAGAAUGGUAGGAAGUGAUGGCUGUAUUGCAUCCGUCUACCCUUAAAAUAAUGUUUUUGCUUGGUGCUUGCUAGGUUUGCAGAUGUUGCACAGCAUAAUGAUUAAUGAAGCGAUAUAGAAGGGAAUUCAAUAAAACACCAAUUCUUUAUAAUAGAUGAAAAUGUUAUCCUUUUCAGGGUAAUUCUCAUAUAUAUUUUUCUUGAUAUAUCUUGGCUUCUCUUUGAUCCAAAUUUCAAAGUAAAGUUGAUCUGAUAAAACUCAUUUAGGGUUGAAAAUUUUGCAUUAGUUGCCAAUAAAGUUUUUAAGUUACAACACCAAAGAUGUUUUGUUUUCUUUUAGCUAAAGUUUAUGGAACUCAUCUUGCAAAUAUCUAAUUCUCUUACCUAACCAGUUUUAAGUCCUUAAUAAACAUUUAAUGAUUUCUCCCGGUAAUAUAGAAAGCAGGUUGCUUGUGUGCAUCGUCAAUUGAGCUUAUUAGUUAAGCAACAUAAUGGUUCUGAUAUUCAGGUACUGGCAUUGAGAGAGAUCCUUACAAUUGACCACAUUCUCGACCUGGAGUGGAGAGGUUGGUUUGAACAAUUCCGUUUUCCAGUUUUUUAAUUCUCUUCACAUUUCUAUUCUAAUGCUUGUAUUCCUAAUCCGCAUUAAUUACUUAUUUUACGGUCACUUAAAACUUUUGAAUUUUUGAUGGUGAAUACUUGAGUACAUAUACUUGUAAGGAAUCCUCUUUUAUCUGUUGCUAUAUCUCUCUCCUUUUUAUUCUCUCUAACUUCUGCAUUGGAAAGGAAAGAUUGGAGCACCCUUCAUUUUUCUACUGGAGUUCUGAGGAGCCUCUGAAUUUUUAUUAGUGCUCCUUUGUACUCAGAAAUUUUUUGUCACAACAGAACUGCUUUUAUGUAUAUAUAUAUACACACAUUCAAUUCAAUUUGAAGAUACAGCUACACUAUUCUUCACGUAGAUGAUUAUCUUUGUACCAUCUAUGUACCUCAAAGAUGUAAAACAUUCCUAAUGCUUACAGUCAGUGAGAUUCAAAUGCAAAGGUUCCAAAA